GAUGAACGCUGGCGGCGUGCCUAAUACAUGCAAGUCGAGCGAACAGACGAGGAGCUUGCUCCUCUGACGUUAGCGGCGGACGGGUGAGUAACACGUGGAUAACCUACCUAUAAGACUGGGAUAACUUCGGGAAACCGGAGCUAAUACCGGAUAAUAUAUUGAACCGCAUGGUUCAAUAGUGAAAGACGGUUUUGCUGUCACUUAUAGAUGGAUCCCCGCCGCAUUAGCUAGGUGGUAAGGUAACGGCUUACCAAGGCAACGAUGCGUAGCCGACCUGAGAGGGUGAUCGGCCACACUGGAACUGAGACACGGUCCAGACUCCUACGGGAGGCAGCAGUAGGGAAUCUUCCGCAAUGGGCGAAAGCCUGACGGAGCAACGCCGCGUGAGUGAAGAAGGUCUUCGGAUCGUAAAACUCUGUUAUUAGGGAAGAACAAAUGUGUAAGUAACUAUGCACGUCUUGACGGUACCUAAUCAGAAAGCCACGGCUAACUACGUG
rnacentral:rRNA from 1 species